GACGAACGCUGGCGGCGUGCUUAACACAUGCAAGUCGAACGGAAAGGCCCUGCUUUUGUGGGGUGCUCGAGUGGCGAACGGGUGAGUAACACGUGAGUAACCUGCCCUUGACUUUGGGAUAACUUCAGGAAACUGGGGCUAAUACCGGAUAGGAGCUCCUGCUGCAUGGUGGGGGUUGGAAAGUUUCGGCGGUUGGGGAUGGACUCGCGGCUUAUCAGCUUGUUGGUGGGGUAGUGGCUUACCAAGGCUUUGACGGGUAGCCGGGCUGAGAGGGUGACCGGCCACAUUGGGACUGAGAUACGGCCCAGACUCCUACGGGAGGCAGCAGGGGGGAAUAUUGCACAAUGGGAGGAAGCCUGAUGCAGCAACGCCGCGUGCGGGAUGACGGCCUUCGGGUUGUAAACCGCUUUCGCAUGUGACGAAGCGUGAGUGACGGUAAUGGGUAAAGAAGCACCGGCUAACUACGUG
rnacentral:rRNA from 1 species